CCUACGGGCGGCAGCAGUGGGGAAUAUUGGACAAUGGGCGAAAGCCUGAUCCAGCCAUGCCGCGUGUGUGAAGAAGGCCUUCGGGUUGUAAAGCACUUUCAGUGGGGAAGAAAGCCUUGGGGCUAAUACCCUCGAGGAAGGACAUCACCCACAGAAGAAGCACCGGCUAACUCCGUGCCAGCAGCCGCGGUAAUACGGAGGGUGCGAGCGUUAAUCGGAAUUACUGGGCGUAAAGCGCGCGUAGGCGGUCUGAUAAGCCGGUUGUGAAAGCCCCGGGCUCAACCUGGGAACGGCAUCCGGAACUGUCAGGCUAGAGGGCAGGAGAGGAAGGUAGAAUUCCCGGUGUAGCGGUGAAAUGCGUAGAGAUCGGGAGGAAUACCAGUGGCGAAGGCGGCCUUCUGGACUGACACUGACGCUGAGGUGCGAAAGCGUGGGUAGCAAACAGGAUUAGAUACCCGUGUAGUC
rnacentral:rRNA from 1 species